UACGGAGGGUGCGAGCGUUGUCCGGAAUUAUUGGGCGUAAAGGGCGCGUAGGCGGCUUGGCAAGUGGAUGGUGAAAUCCCUCGGCUUAACCGAGGAACUGCCGUCCAAACUGCUUCGCUUGAGACCGGGAGAGGUGAGUGGAAUUCCCAGUGUAGCGGUGAAAUGCGUAGAUAUUGGGAGGAACACCAGUGGCGAAGGCGGCUCACUGGACCGGUACUGACGCUGAUGCGCGAAAGCGUGGGGAGCAAACGGG
rnacentral:rRNA from 1 species